UACAGAGGGGGCAAGCGUUGUUCGGAAUUACUGGGCGUAAAGGGCGCGUAGGCGGCCUCUUAAGUCGAACGUGAAAUCCCCGGGCUCAACCCGGGAACUGCGUCCGAUACUGGGGGGCUUGAAUCCGGGAGAGGGAUGUGGAAUUCCAGGUGUAGCGGUGAAAUGCGUAGAUAUCUGGAGGAACACCGGUGGCGAAGGCGGCAUCCUGGACCGGUAGUGACGCUGAGGCGCGAAAGCCAGGGGAGCAAACGGG
rnacentral:rRNA from 1 species